rnacentral:rRNA from 1 species
GACGAACGCUGGCGGCGUGCCUAACACAUGCAAGUCGAGCGGAGUCGAUCGACGGAAGCCUUCGGGCGGAAGGUGGUUGACUUAGCGGCGGAUGGGUGAGUAACGCGUGGGCAACCUGCCUCGAAGACCGGGAUAACAGCCCGAAAGGGCUGCUAAUACCGGAUGUGGUCAAGGAUCCGCAUGGAUUUUGAUUAAAGGGGAAACCCGUUUCGAGAUGGGCCCGCGUCCUAUCAGCUAGUUGGUGAGGUAAAAGCUCACCAAGGCGACGACGGGUAGCCGGCCUGAGAGGGUGACCGGCCACACUGGAACUGAGACACGGUCCAGACUCCUACGGGGGGCAGCAGUGGGGAAUCUUCCACAAUGGGCGAAAGCCUGAUGGAGCGACGCCGCGUGAGCGAAGAAGGCCUUCGGGUUGUAAAGCUCUGUCUGGAGGGACGAAGGAAGUGACGGUACCUCCGGAGGAAGCCACGGCUAACUACGUG